rnacentral:lncRNA from 1 species
AUGGUCACUGAACGAACAGACCCAACUCUCACAGGUGACACAACCAUCCACACCUCUGUGUCAGAUUCGUCUGAGACCACAGUAUCACCUGAGGUUUCUCAUGCCACAGGCGCUGCGAGUUCUGUAACUCCAUGGAGUCCUGGAGAGGCAUCCAUCAGCCCAGCUGUCUCAGGACCAACCGCCACUGGCGUCACCCAGAUAUCCACAGACCACAGCACCAUCUCUGAUUCCUCUAAACCCACGGACUCAUCUGUAACCACCUUUACCAGAGAAUAUGGAAGUCCUGAGCCCACCUCAAGUCCCAGUGAUGCCUUUUCUACUUCCAGUAGUUUUGGCCAAACCACCAUGUUCUUUCCAGUGGCUUCCACAGUCUCCUCGACCCUCUCUGAUUCAUCAAAUCCUACAUUUUCACCAGACACCCCCCAUACCACUGACAAGGAAAGUCCUUCAUCCUCUCUAGGUCCAGGUCCAUCACCCACCAGCACUCAGGUCUCUGGACAAACAGCCACGCCUUUCACUAAAGAGACAACUGCCUACACACACAUUUCAGAUUUAUCAACAACACCGACUUCUGGUGAAACGUCCUACACCCAGGAUGAUGAAGGGACCACGUCCCCUUCGAGUCCUGGCCUGCUGUCUUCCAACCCUGGGAUUUCAGGACAGACAAACACAGGCCUGACCGAGGGGCCUUCUGCCUAUACAGACACACCUAAUGGGUCCAAACCUACCAGUACCUCGGACAGCACAGUUACCAAGGAGGAUGGAAGUUCUGCUUCCACAUCUGGGCCUGCUGAAUCAUUUACCACUUCUGGUGUUGAUCCACACACAGGCACAACUUUACCUCCAAGAUCCCCUCCUUACACCACCACCUCAGAGGUGUCUGCACCCACAGUUUCGACUCACUCUUCCUACAGCACGGAUGAGGCAAGUGCUACUUCUCAGUCAAGCUCUAGUGAUUUAUUUACCACCAGUGUGCUCUCUGAACAAUCAGCCAGGACUCUCACAGAGAAGCCAACUGUCCACACCAUUUCUGAUUCAUCUGAAUCAACAGCUUCUUCCUACAGCCUCAGAACCCCAGGCCUUGGCAGUUCUGCAGCACCCUCGAGUCCUGGAGAAUUCCCUUCCAGCCCAGUUGGCUCACGACUGACUGCAUCUACAGUCACCCAGCCAUCCACAGAGCACAGCACCGUGUCUGAUUCUUCUCAACCUCCAGACUCAUCGGCAACCACUUAUACCAAGGAUGAUGAAAGUCGUGUGCCUACGUCAGGUCCCGCUGAAUCUUUAACCACCUCUCCUGGUUCUGGACCACCAGCCUCACCCACAGCUAUGGAGUCUACUUUCUCCACAAGCAUCUCAGAGUCGUCAGAAUACACAGUGUCUUCCUAUAGUACAGAUUCUUCAACUCCAUCAGACCAUGAAGGAUUUCCCACCGCUUCCCUGACCACUGGACACAGUGCUACAACUUUUACUGGAUUGCCCUCUGUCUUUACAACUAUGCCUGAUUUGUCCAAAACAACCAUUUCUUCUGAAACCUUCUAUACCAGGGAUGAUGGAAGUGCAAUGUUCCCUUCCAGUACUGGUCAGAUGUCUAGCACACUCUCUGCCUCAGUACAGACAACCACAGGCCUCAUGGACGGAUCCAGUGUGGAUACAGGUACCACCCACUCUUCAGAACCUAUAGUUUUAUCACACAGCACAAUGAGCAAGGAAGAUGGGCUUUCUGCUUCCACAUCAAGAACGACUGAAUCCUUUUCUACAAAUGCUGAUCACAGACAAACAACUACAAUUUUUGCUGAGAGGUCUACUUUCUACACCUCCCCUUCAGAGUUGUCCACGUUAACAGUUUCCACUCACACCUCUUAUAGCACACAUAAUUCAAGUCCUGCUUCCCUAUCCAGCCCCAUUGAGUUCUCUACCCCCAGUGUAAUCACUGAACCAACAGACCUAACUCUCACUGGUGAGACAACUGUCCACACCACCGUGUUGGAUUUAUCUGAACCCACAGUAUCAGCUAAGCUUUCACAAGCCACAAGUAGUUCUGUAGCUCCAUGGAGUCCUGGAGAGGCAUCCAUCAGCCCAGCUGUCUCAGGACCAACCGCCACUGGCGUCACCCAGAUAUCCACAGACCACAGCACCAUAUCUAAUUCCUCUAAACCCACAGACUCAUCUGUAACCACCUUUACCAAAGACGAUGGGAGUCCUGCAUCGACCUCAAGUCAUAGUUUUGGCCUAACCACCAUGUCCUUUCCAGUGGCUUCCACAGCCUCCUUGACUGUCUCAGAUUCACCAAAUCCUUCAUUUUCACCAGACACCUCCCAUACCACUGACAAGGAAAGUCCUUCAUCUCCUCUGGGUCCAGGUCCAUCACCCACCAGCACUCAGAUCUCUGGACAAACAGCGACGCCUUUCACUAAAGAGAUAACUGUCUACACUCAAAUUUCAGAUUUAUCAACACCAUCGUCCUCUUCUGAAACAUCCUACACCAGGAAUGAUGGAGGGACCAUGUCUGCCUCAUAUCCUGGCCAGCUGUAUUCCACCUCUGGGAUUUCAGGACAGACAAACACAGGCCUGACCGAGGGGCCUUCUGCCUAUACAGACACACCUAAUGGGUCCAAACCUACCAGUACCUCGGACAGCACAGUUACCAAGGAGGAUGGAAGUUCUGCUUCCACAUCUGGGCCUGCUGAAUCAUUUACCACUUCUGGUGUUGAUCCACACACAGGCACAACUUUACCUCCAAGAUCCCCUCCUUACACCACCACCUCAGAGGUGUCUGCACCCACAGUUUCGACUCACUCUUCCUACAGCACGGAUGAGGCAAGUGCUACUUCUCAGUCAAGCUCUAGUGAUUUAUUUACCACCAGUGUGCUCUCUGAACAAUCAGCCAGGACUCUCACAGAGAAGCCAACUGUCCACACCAUUUCUGAUUCAUCUGAAUCAACAGCUUCUUCCUACAGCCUCAGAACCCCAGGCCUUGGCAGUUCUGCAGCACCCUCGAGUCCUGGAGAAUUCCCUUCCAGCCCAGUUGGCUCACGACUGACUGCAUCUACAGUCACCCAGCCAUCCACAGAGCACAGCACCGUGUCUGAUUCUUCUCAACCUCCAGACUCAUCGGCAACCACUUAUACCAAGGAUGAUGAAAGUCGUGUGCCUACGUCAGGUCCCGCUGAAUCUUUAACCACCUCUCCUGGUUCUGGACCACCAGCCUCACCCACAGCUAUGGAGUCUACUUUCUCCACAAGCAUCUCAGAGUCGUCAGAAUACACAGUGUCUUCCUAUAGUACAGAUUCUUCAACUCCAUCAGACCAUGAAGGAUUUCCCACCGCUUCCCUGACCACUGGACACAGUGCUACAACUUUUACUGGAUUGCCCUCUGUCUUUACAACUAUGCCUGAUUUGUCCAAAACAACCAUUUCUUCUGAAACCUUCUAUACCAGGGAUGAUGGAAGUGCAAUGUUCCCUUCCAGUACUGGUCAGAUGUCUAGCACACUCUCUGCCUCAGUACAGACAACCACAGGCCUCAUGGACGGAUCCAGUGUGGAUACAGGUACCACCCACUCUUCAGAACCUAUAGUUUUAUCACACAGCACAAUGAGCAAGGAAGAUGGGCUUUCUGCUUCCACAUCAAGAACGACUGAAUCCUUUUCUACAAAUGCUGAUCACAGACAAACAACUACAAUUUUUGCUGAGAGGUCUACUUUCUACACCUCCCCUUCAGAGUUGUCCACGUUAACAGUUUCCACUCACACCUCUUAUAGCACACAUAAUUCAAGUCCUGCUUCCCUAUCCAGCCCCAUUGAGUUCUCUACCCCCAGUGUAAUCACUGAACCAACAGACCUAACUCUCACUGGUGAGACAACUGUCCACACCACCGUGUUGGAUUUAUCUGAACCCACAGUAUCAGCUAAGCUUUCACAAGCCACAAGUAGUUCUGUAGCUCCAUGGAGUCCUGGAGAGGCAUCCAUCAGCCCAGCUGUCUCAGGACCAACCGCCACUGGCGUCACCCAGAUAUCCACAGACCACAGCACCAUAUCUAAUUCCUCUAAACCCACAGACUCAUCUGUAACCACCUUUACCAAAGACGAUGGGAGUCCUGCAUCGACCUCAAGUCAUAGUUUUGGCCUAACCACCAUGUCCUUUCCAGUGGCUUCCACAGCCUCCUUGACUGUCUCAGAUUCACCAAAUCCUUCAUUUUCACCAGACACCUCCCAUACCACUGACAAGGAAAGUCCUUCAUCUCCUCUGGGUCCAGGUCCAUCACCCACCAGCACUCAGAUCUCUGGACAAACAGCGACGCCUUUCACUAAAGAGAUAACUGUCUACACUCAAAUUUCAGAUUUAUCAACACCAUCGUCCUCUUCUGAAACAUCCUACACCAGGAAUGAUGGAGGGACCAUGUCUGCCUCAUAUCCUGGCCAGCUGUAUUCCACCUCUGGGAUUUCAGGACAGACAAACACAGGCCUGACCGAGGGGCCUUCUGCCUAUACAGACACACCUAAUGGGUCCAAACCUACCAGUACCUCGGACAGCACAGUUACCAAGGAGGAUGGAAGUUCUGCUUCCACAUCUGGGCCUGCUGAAUCAUUUACCACUUCUGGUGUUGAUCCACACACAGGCACAACUUUACCUCCAAGAUCCCCUCCUUACACCACCACCUCAGAGGUGUCUGCACCCACAGUUUCGACUCACUCUUCCUACAGCACGGAUGAGGCAAGUGCUACUUCUCAGUCAAGCUCUAGUGAUUUAUUUACCACCAGUGUGCUCUCUGAACAAUCAGCCAGGACUCUCACAGAGAAGCCAACUGUCCACACCAUUUCUGAUUCAUCUGAAUCAACAGCUUCUUCCUACAGCCUCAGAACCCCAGGCCUUGGCAGUUCUGCAGCACCCUCGAGUCCUGGAGAAUUCCCUUCCAGCCCAGUUGGCUCACGACUGACUGCAUCUACAGUCACCCAGCCACCCACAGAGCACAGCACCGUGUCUGAUUCUUCUCAACUUCCGGACUCAUCAGCAACCACUUAUACCAAGGAUGAUGAAAGUCAUGUGUCUACAUCAGGUCCCACUGAAUCUUUAACCACAGGGUCUUCCUAUAGUACAGAUUCUUCAACUCCGUCAGACCAUGAAGGAUUUCCCACUGCUUCCCUGACCACUGGACACAGCGCUACAACUUUUACUGGAUUGCCCUCUGUCGUUACAACUAUGCCUGAUUUGUCUGAAACGGCCGUUUCAUCUGAAACCUUCUAUACCAGGGAUGAUGGAAGUGCAAUGUCCCCUUCCAAUUCUGGCCAUCUGUCUAGCACCCUCUCUGCCUCAGCACACACAACCACAGGCCUCGUGAAAGGAUCCAGCAUGGUUAAAGGUACCACUCAUUCAUCAGAACCUACAGUUAUCUCAGAAAGCACUGUUACCAAAGAAGAUGGGCUUUCUGCUUCCACAUCAAAAACCACUGAAUCCUUUACUACAAAGGAUGAUCAUGUACAAACAACCACAUCCAUUGCUCGGGGGUCCACUUUCUACCCCCCCUCAGAGCUGUCCACACCAACAUUUUCAACAACUCACACCUCCUACAGCACAGAUAAUGCAAGUCCUGCCUCCGAAUCCAGCAUCAGUGAGCUCUCUACCCUCACUGUGGUCACUGAACGAACAGACCCAACUCUCACAGGUGACACAACCGUCCACACCUCUGUGUCAGAUUCAUCUGAGACCACAGUAUCACCUGAGGUUUCUCAUGCCACAGGUGCUGCGAGUUCUGUAGCUCCAUGGAGUCCUGGAGAGGCAUCCAUCAGCCCAGCUGUCUCAGGACCAACCGCCACUGGUGUCACCCAGAUAUCCACAGACCACAGCACCAUCUCUGAUUCCUCUAAACCCACGGACUCAUCUGUAACCACCUUUACCAGAGAAUAUGGAAGUCCUGAGCCCACCUCAAGUCCCAGUGAUGCCUUUUCUACUUCCAGUAGUUUUGGCCAAACCACCAUGUUCUUUCCAGUGGCUUCCACAGUCUCCUCGACCCUCUCUGAUUCAUCAAAUCCUACAUUUUCACCAGACACCCCCCAUACCACUGACAAGGAAAGUCCUUCAUCCUCUCUAGGUCCAGGUCCAUCACCCACCAGCACUCAGGUCUCUGGACAAACAGCCACGCCUUUCACUAAAGAGACAACUGCCUACACACACAUUUCAGAUUUAUCAACAACACCGACUUCUGGUGAAACGUCCUACACCCAGGAUGAUGAAGGGACCACGUCCCCUUCGAGUCCUGGCCUGCUGUCUUCCAACCCUGGGAUUUCAGGACAGACAAACACAGGCCUGACCGAGGGGCCUUCUGCCUAUACAGACACACCUAAUGGGUCCAAACCUACCAGUACCUCGGACAGCACAGUUACCAAGGAGGAUGGAAGUUCUGCUUCCACAUCUGGGCCUGCUGAAUCAUUUACCACUUCUGGUGUUGAUCCACACACAGGCACAACUUUACCUCCAAGAUCCCCUCCUUACACCACCACCUCAGAGGUGUCUGCACCCACAGUUUCGACUCACUCUUCCUACAGCACGGAUGAGGCAAGUGCUACUUCUCAGUCAAGCUCUAGUGAUUUAUUUACCACCAGUGUGCUCUCUGAACAAUCAGCCAGGACUCUCACAGAGAAGCCAACUGUCCACACCAUUUCUGAUUCAUCUGAAUCAACAGCUUCUUCCUACAGCCUCAGAACCCCAGGCCUUGGCAGUUCUGCAGCACCCUCGAGUCCUGGAGAAUUCCCUUCCAGCCCAGUUGGCUCACGACUGACUGCAUCUACAGUCACCCAGCCAUCCACAGAGCACAGCACCGUGUCUGAUUCUUCUCAACCUCCAGACUCAUCGGCAACCACUUAUACCAAGGAUGAUGAAAGUCGUGUGCCUACGUCAGGUCCCACUGAAUCUUUAACCACCUCUCCUGGUUCUGGACCACCAGCCUCACCCACAGCUAUGGAGUCUACUUUCUCCACAAGCAUCUCAGAGUCGUCAGAAUACACAGUGUCUUCCUAUAGUACAGAUUCUUCAACUCCAUCAGACCAUGAAGGAUUUCCCACCGCUUCCCUGACCACUGGACACAGUGCUACAACUUUUACUGGAUUGCCCUCUGUCUUUACAACUAUGCCUGAUUUGUCCAAAACAACCAUUUCUUCUGAAACCUUCUAUACCAGUGGUGAUGGAAGUGCUGUGUCCCCUUCCAGUGUUGCCCAGCCUUCUAGCAUACUCUCUGCCUCAGCACAGACAACCACAGGCCUCAUGGACGGAUCCAGUAUGUAUACAGGCACCCCUCAUUCAUCAAAAUCUACAGUUAUCUCAGACAACACUGUUAGCAAGGAGGAUGGACUUUCUGCUUCCACAUCAAGAACUGCUGAAUCCUUUACUACAAAUGCUGAUCACGGACAAAUAACAACAUCCUUUGUUAUGGGGUCCGCUUUCUCCACCUCCCCCUCAGAGCUAUCCACAACAAUAGUUUCCACCCACUCUUCCUAUCUCACAGAUUCCGUUAUACCCACAGAUCCAUUAACAACCAUAUUUACUAAGGAUGAUGGAAGUACUAGAUCAACACUGAGCUCUAGUGAAUCGUUUACCAGUUCUCAAAGUGAUGUACAAACAACAGAGUCUUUUACUAUGGAAUCUGCCGUCUCCACAACUGUCUCCAAUAUGUCACACUCUACCGUUUCCCUCAGUACCUUCUUGACUACUGGCAAGGGAAGUUCUUCAUCUCCUUUUGGUCCUAGUGUAUCCUCUACAUCCAGUCAGUCAUCUGGACCAACAGCCACAACAGUCUCCUUUACAGAAGAGAGAACUCUCUACACAAACAUUUCUGAUAUGUCCACAUCAACCAUUUCCUCCGAGACUACCUCUGUCCACGAUGAAGGAAGUUCUACAUCCUCCUCAAGUUCUAACAUAUCGUCUACCACCCCCACUGUCUCAGCAGAGACAACCACAGGCAUCAAAGUGAAAUCCACUCUCUCUACAGGCACCCCCAGUUUAUCCAAAUCUACAGAUACUUUGGCGACUGUUGUUACCAAAGACAAUGGUAUUUCUUUUUCCUCAUUAAAUGUCAUUGAAUCCUCUACGACUUCUGGUGGUGAUGCACACUCAAGCACAUCUUUUCCUCAAGGAUCCACCGUCUAUACAAUCACCUCAGAGCUGCCCACACCAUUAUUUUCUACCCAUCAUUCUUACAGCACAGACAAUGCAAGUCCUGCUUCUCCAUCAAUCCCCAGUGAACUCUCUACUCCCACUUGGAUCUCUGAACAAACUACUAGAACUCUCACAGAGGAGCCAACAAUCCAUGCCACCAUUUCAGAAUCAUCUGAAUCAACAGUUUCUUUCUACAGCCCCCAUCCCACAGGCACUAGGAGUUCUGCUACCCCAUGGAGCCUUGGAGAGGCAUCUACUAAUCCAGCUGUCUCAGGAACAACUGCCAGUAUGGUCCCCUUGAAAUCCACAGGGCAUAGCACAAUCUUUGAUUUUUCUCAACCCACAGACUCAUCUGCAACCACUUUCACCAAAGAGGAUAGAAGUUCUAUGUCCACAUCUAUCCCCGGCAAAUCUUUUACCACCUCUCGUGGUGAUGGACAAACAACUUUUCCUCCAGGAUCCACAUUCUAUACAAUAACCUCAAAGGUGUUGACACCAACAUUUUCUUCCCACUCUUCCUAUAGCACAGACAAAGCAAGUUCUGCUUCCCCAUCAAGCCCCAGUGACCUCUCUAACCAGACUGUACUCUCUGAACAAACCACCAUGACUCUUACAGAGGAGUCAACUGUCUACACCAGUGCUUCUGAUUUGUCCCAAUCUACUGUUUCCUCUGAAACCUCUUUUACCAGAUUUGAAGGAAGUUCCUCUUCAGGUCCUGGCCAGCUCUCUACCACCUCUGGUGUCUCACAAGAGACAUCCUCAAGCCUAAGUGAUGGGUCUACUGUCUAUACAGACACCCCUGAUUUGUCCAAAACUACAGUAACCUCAGACACCACCCUUUCUAAUGAGAACAUAAGUUCUGCUGCUACUUCAAAUUCAGGCGAAACUUUUCUCACUACAGGUGGAUAUCAAGAAACACCCACAUCCUUUACUAUGGAAUCAACUGUCUCCACAAUCCUCUCAGAUUUAUCAAAUCCAACAGUUCCACAUGGUACCGUCUAUACUACUGAGAAUGCAAGUUCUUCUUCCCCAUCUGGUCCUGGUGAAUUAAUUUCCAGUACUCUAGUCUCUGGGCAAACACCCACAUCCCUUCCUGAAGCAUCCACUGUCCACACGACCAUAACUGAUUUGUCUUACUCCACUGGUUCAGUGGUUACCUCCUCCACCAAUGUCAAUGGAAGUUUUACUUCCACACCAAGCCCCGGUGAAUUAUCCACUACCACCUUGGUCUCUGGACAAACAACCACACUUUUCACAGAAAAGCCAACCAUCUACACCAUUUCUGAUUUGUUCAGUUCUACAGUUUCUGUUGACACCUCCUCUACCACUCCUAGUGGGGGGCCUGCACCCUCAUCAGGUUCUGGCUUGUUGUCCUCCACUACCAUCACAACCAUCACUGAGGAAUCGAGUGUCUUCACCACUACCACUUAUUCCUCUAAUACAAUGGAUUCAUCUGAUGCCCCCAAUACCACUGAAGAUCUUAGUGCAUUAUCUUCAUCAAGGCCCAUCCAUUCCUUUUCACCCCCAGUCUCUGGACAAAUGCCCACCACCUUGGGUGAGAAUUUCACUCUUUUCAUCACCAGCAGUGAUUCUGCCAAACCAACGAUUUCUACUUCAAUCCCCUCUUCCACAGACAGCCCUAGUCCUGCAUCCCCAUCAGCUCUCACUUUCUCUUCUACAACUAGAGACAUCUCCAGACCAACAGCCACCACCCUCAGAGGAGGAUCUACUAUUUUCCAAAGCAGCACAGGGUCACCAAAGACAACAAUAUCAUCUGACAGCUCCCAAACCACUACCUCUCAUGCUUCUUCUUUAGUCUCAGCUCUUCCUAGCUUGUCCUCAAGGCCAGUCUCUGACUCUUCCUCAGCCGUUACAGCUUCCUCUGGUUUUUCUCCUCCUCUGUCCUCCACUUCACCUGGCUCUACCCAUGCUCCAGUCCUUGGGUUCAGUACGUCUUCAACUCUCCAUCCCCUGUUCACUAGCACCCAUACAACUGUGAUGACGACCGAGUCUUCAGCUAUGACACCAAGUAAGUCUUUUUGUCCGUCACUCUGUGAACCUCUCUUGUCCAUCUUCUCUCAUCAACUAAUCAGUUUUGACCUCGUUGUGGUCUUGUUUCAUCCUUCCUGA